rnacentral:rRNA from 1 species
UACGUAGGGGGCAAGCGUUAUCCGGAUUUACUGGGUGUAAAGGGAGCGUAGACGGCAGCGCAAGUCCGGAGUGAAAGCCCGGGGCCCAACCCCGGGACUGCUCUGGAAACUGUGAAGCUGGAGUGCGGGAGGGGCAGGCGGAAUUCCUGGUGUAGCGGUGAAAUGCGUAGAUAUCAGGAGGAACACCGGCGGCGAAGGCGGCCUGCUGGACCGUGACUGACGUUGAGGCUCGAAAGCGUGGGGAGCAAACAGG